CGCAGGACAAUCGAAUUACAUCGCCCAAGGUUCCGCAGAUUUAUUCAAGUAGUAUUCCCUUCCGCUGGAAGGUGCAUUUUAAAUUGUCCAUGUUUUAUUUAUGUUUAAAUUACGAUCAGAAAUUCUAAUUGAGUAAAUGUGACCGGCAGGUGUCGCAGUGAUUUGGUCCUUUAAAUCUGUGUCCCGUGUUCAAACCGCCCGAGCUGCACCAGCACACGGAGCCUGGCCUGGUAUUUCCCUAUUGCUUCGCAUCAUCUCACUUCAUGAAUUUGUUCCCUGACAUCUUCAGAGAUCAGCUGCGGCCCUUGUCAUUAUGAGUAGCUGGGGAAGGGGAAUCCCGGCCGAAAGUUAAUAACGGUCACCUAAAAUUUUAGUGUUUUUGUGUCGUGUUCCUAUUUGGGAAGAUCACUCUCCAUGUACCCGAAUGAUCCCCGGUCCUUUUUAAUCUGGGACUGCGGGAUAUUUCUGUUUGUUUUGAUUAAUCUUUUUCUCAAACAGUGGCACGGGAUGGUGGCCGAGUCCGUCAGAAGCAGCUCCUUAUGGGAUUGAAAAAUUGAUGUGAGAUGACUAAAGCUGGUACUGUGGAUUAAUGUUGAGGGCAGUCAGCUCGGGUUGCUGAUUCCUCCUCUGGCUCCUGGCUCCUGUCUGUAUCACAACGCCUCACCAUCUGGCUGGAAAAUUUUACAAGCCAUCAGAAGAAAACACGCGGGGAAAGAAGAAACACUUUCUGUUGCCAACAUGAGAGCUACCGCGAAUAUCUAGACUCUCUUGGAACGAAUGGAUUUGGAUUCUGCCUUAAAAAAACCCCAAAUCCAAUGGGUGUUUUGAGUUUGAACUGGACAGUGAAUUACCGUUAUAUAACAUUUGGAAAUUCCUUUCUCGCUUAUUUUUUUUAAGAAUAGUUUCUUCGCAAAGCUUUUUAUUGGGAUUUUUGUGGAUGUGUGUAUUUGAGAUUUGUUUGUAUUCUUUAGUACUUGUAGUUUUUGGGCUUUCGUUACGAGGAAGUUUUACUAUUAUCGGAGUUUCGGCAGCUUGACGGGAGUGAGAAGAGAAAACAAGCGGUGUCUGGUGUCAGCAUCCCAACAAUUGGAGAACAUCAGUGCUGAUAAAAAUCAAACGCCGCACUUUGAGAAAAAUGCCGGUGAAAAAACAAGACACCCAGCGUGCUUUACUGCUUCUUGAGGACUACUGUUCAAAACUGAAGAAACCGGAGGAAAGGCAACUUAAAAGUGCUGUUGAAAGAGUUAUAAGUAUCUUCAAAAGUGGCUUAUUUCAAGCGUUACUAGGUAUGUUUCAGAAGAUAUUUGUAUUGUAUAAAAGAGAUCUUAUCUUUUGAAAGGUCUUAUUUUUUGAAAUGUUUUCAUGUUUCUUGUAUUGUUUGCUUAAGAAAUGGGUUGAGAUUAUUUUAAGCUGUGAAAGCAGGAUUUAGAGCUGUAAAUCUAAUACUGUGAUGGAAGUAUUCCAUGCAAUACAGUGGCCCAUUCAACAAGCUCAAAUUCAAAUGCAUUACUUUUGGUGUAUAUAUUCUGGUUGCUACAUUACUAUUGAGAAAUUGUUAAUAGUAAUGUUAACAUUGACCAGAAAAUGGAAUGAAGAAACGUGGGGGAUGUGGAAAGUUACAUGGGAAGUAUCCUACAAGAUCAACAGCUUUCAUUUCAGUAUUUUUCUAAAAUUGUGGCCCUGACAAAGUGUGAAACAUUAAUAAAUCGGAAAGUGUGGUUGUGUGUAUCUGACUACUUAGAAGUCCAAGAUUCCCCUGGAACAUGACCACCUUACUUUGACAAAAGAUCGAGGACUCUGAUUUAAUAACAAGCACAAGCUAGCUUUAAAAUAAUGAAUAGUUUUAUUUCCAUUUAAUUUUAAUAUUGUGAACUUUGACAACCAUAUAUAAAGAGAAUAAUUUUAAUCUUUAGCUGUAAUGCAAACUACUCUGCGCCUUCAAUAAUCAUUUCAUUUGUUUAAGCUGUUAUUUGUGUUGUAAAUAUUUACUAGAGGCAUAUAAUUUUGCAUGUUAAUUUGGUUUCUAUAUACAGUAUACUUCUGAAAUGCGAGUGGCAACUUUCCGAGUGAUUAACUUGUAAUGAGGAAAUCUUCUGCCUUUGUGAAAAGCUUAAGAAUGUAUUAAAUAUUAAAUGAUCAACUGACUGUUUGCACUUCUCUGGCUGAAAACAGUGACCCAAUUUUUGCAGUUUGCAAUAAAGGCAAUGACAUUUGGCAA